rnacentral:rRNA from 1 species
UACAGAGGUCUCAAGCGUUGUUCGGAUUCAUUGGGCGUAAAGGGUGCGUAGGCGGCGCGGUAAGUCGGGCGUGAAAUCUCGGAGCUUAACUCCGAAACUGCAUUCGAUACUGCCGUGCUUGAGGACUGGAGAGGAGACUGGAAUUUACGGUGUAGCGGUGAAAUGCGUAGAUAUCGUAAGGAAGACCAGUGGCGAAGGCGAGUCUCUGGACAGCAACUGACGCUGAGGCACGAAGGCCAGGGGAGCAAACGGG